rnacentral:rRNA from 1 species
GUAGAGAUCUGGAGGAAUUACCGGUGGCGAAGGGCGGCCCCCUUGGACAAAGACUGACGCUCAGGUGCGAAAGCGUGGGGAGCAAACAGGAUUAGAUAACCUGGUAGUCCACGCCGUAAACGAUGUCGACUUGGAGGUUGUGCCCUUGAGGCGUGGCUUCCGGAGCUAACGCGUUAAGUCGACCGCCUGGGGAGUACGGCCGCAAGGUUAAAACUCAAAUGAAUUGACGGGGGCCCGCACAAGCGGUGGAGCAUGUGGUUUAAUUCGAUGCAACGCGAAGAACCUUACCUACUCUUGACAUCCAGAGAACUUAGCAGAGAUGGAUUGGUGCCUUCGGGAACUCUGAGACAGGUGCUGCAUGGCUGUCGUCAGCUCGUGUUGUGAAAUGUUGGGUUAAGUCCCGCAACGAGCGCAAC